UGGUGGGGUAAUGGCCUACCAAGGCGACGAUCCAUAGCUGGUCUGAGAGGAUGAUCAGCCACACUGGGACUGAGACACGGCCCAGACUCCUACGGGAGGCAGCAGUGGGGAAUAUUGGACAAUGGGGGCAACCCUGAUCCAGCCAUGCCGCGUGAGUGAUGAAGGCCCUAGGGUUGUAAAGCUCUUUCAGCGAGGAGGAUAAUGACGUUACUCGCAGAAGAAGCCCCGGCUAACUUCGUGCCAGCAGCCGCGGUAAUACGAAGGGGGCUAGCGUUGUUCGGAAUCACUGGGCGUAAAGCGCACGUAGGCGGACUUUUAAGUCAGGGGUGAAAUCCCGGGGCUCAACCCCGGAACUGCCUUUGAUACUGGAAGUCUUGAGUCCGAGAGAGGUGAGUGGAACUCCGAGUGUAGAGGUGAAAUUCGUAGAUAUUCGGAAG
rnacentral:rRNA from 1 species